UGCAAAUAAAAAAUUCUUUCACCAAGGCAAUUCUCUUUGUAAGAAAUCGGUGAAAGCCAUGGUCAAAUUAAACGAUUUUGGGCUUUCAACUGCUUCACUACCAAGCUUAUCUUCCAGAUUUGAGUCCAAGUGAUUAUGGCUUUUUGCAGGCUUCAAAAGAAUUCUCUGGUGAAAGAAAUUUGAUUUUGAUGAAGAAAUUAUUGCCAAGGUUAAAUCCUAUUUCUAAAGCAAAGACGGAUCUUUCUGACACAGAAGUUAUUGAAGAGGAGCUUCAAAGGAGCGUUGGUAUACACCUUGAAUUAAAGGUGGAAUAAUGCAUACACCAGUGGUGUCUCAUCAAGGAAGGCAGGGCAGAUCUCGAACAAUGGAACACAGCAGAAAUGUUAACUAUAAAUUUUACUGGAUUUGUUAGUUUCAAACUUUUUUUGGGAAAAUAAAGUACGCCACUAUA